CUUGCCAGAAGAUGAAAAAAGGAAUAUAGAGCAUGCAGUGUGGAUGUCGGAGAAACAUCAUCUCUCUGUGGCCAGAUUCGUACUGGCUGGUGAGAGACAUCUUAUUGAACGUUUUAACAAUUUAAAAAUCAUUUCAUGCUCAUAGCUUUUAAGGAAUAUAGGAAAAGAUCUUCUCUACUGCUUUCUACUUUUGUCAUGAAUUCACCCUGUCUUCUCUUGACAGAACCUCUGCUAUGUAUACCCGCUCUGUGUAAUGCACCAAUUGCAGAAGUCUCAAGACUUCUAGGCAUCAAAUCAUCUGAUUCCAUCAAUGUCCAGUCACAGCUUCACCUUCUAGAAUCUGAGUGUUUGGUCAGAGGUCACUCUGAGUUCACUGAGAACAUGAGUGCUGACAAAGUCGUCACAGAGAAAGGGGGAUCUUUUCUGAGAGAGGAUUUCUUACCUCUCUCUCACAUGCAAAUUGACGAGCUUCUAACAAAGGCCUCACAAGCUGUAGAAACAAAAGUGGAGCAUAAAGAUAAGUCUGAUCAGAUGGAAGUGUCACCAGUUGUAGUGCAAAACCUACAGGACCAACAGGAGGGAGUGGAUGGAGAAGAACAUCCUUACAAUAUCUAUUGUGUUCCUGAGAGUUAUUUCACCAGAAUAGAAUCUGAAGUCGCCCCCAGCACACGAGUGAGGAAAGUCUGUCAAAGUGUAUUCCUCAAAGGCCAGGAUGACUUAGACCCUUUGUCCUCAUUCAUGGCACUGCGGAUUCAACAGAAUCUCCCCCAACAAAACAUCUCCAACAUUUCAGGUGAAACAAUUGAGGACAUUUUUUUGGAGAAACAAAAAGAAAAUAGCACGAGUGUUAAAGCCAGCCUCAGGCUCCCAGGUUCCCUUGUAAAGUUUCUUUAUUUGGUUAAUUCUUGGUUUUGUUGGUGGGGGUGACUGUGUCUUUUUCCCCAGAGAGCCAGAAAACGAGAGAGCAGAUGCCUACAGAGGGAGUGACAUUUAAAAGUCCCCAGUUAAAGUCGAAAGAAAGCUGCAAUGUUGAUGCUGUUAGCUGUGAGGG
ensembl:lncRNA